rnacentral:rRNA from 1 species
UGGGGAAUUUUGCGCAAUGGGCGAAAGCCUGACGCAGCAACGCCGCGUGGGUGAUGAAGGUCUUUGGAUCGUAAAACCCUGUAGUCGGGGACGAAGGUGGAGGGGUUAAUAGCCUCUUUGCUUGACGGUACCCGGAGAGGAAGCCCCGGCUAACUCUGGGCCAGCAGCCGCGGUAAUACAGAGGGGGCAAGCGUUAUUCGGAAUUAUUGGGCGUAAAGGGCGCGUAGGCGGCUUUUUAAGUGAGAUGUGUAAUCCCUGAGCUCAACUUGGGAACUGCAUCUCAUACUGGGAGGCUAGAGUACUGGAGAGGGUGGUAGAAUUCCACGUGUAGCGGUGAAAUGCGUAGAGAUGUGGAGGAAUACCAGUGGCGAAGGCGGCCACCUGGACAGUAACUGACGCUGAGGCGCGAAAGUGUGGGUAGCAAACAGG